UACAGAGGUCCCAAGCGUUGUUCGGAUUCACUGGGCGUAAAGGGUGCGUAGGUGGCAAGGUAAGUUUGAUGUGAAAUCUCCGAGCUUAACUCGGAAACUGCAUUGAAUACUAUCUUGCUUGAGGGUUGGAGGGGGGACUGGAAUUCUCGGUGUAGCAGUGAAAUGCGUAGAUAUCGAGAGGAACACCAGUGGCGAAGGCGAGUCCCUGGACAACACCUGACACUGAGGCACGAAAGCUAGGGGAGCAAACAGG
rnacentral:rRNA from 1 species